rnacentral:misc_RNA from 1 species
CCGACCGGCACUGCCCGGCGACCGCGCUCGGUCCGCAGCGAGCGCGAGCGACUGGAGCGGGGCUCAGCCGGGUCCAGGCGGGGCCGAGCCGGGCCACUGCCGCCCGCGGCGCCUGUGACCAGCUAACGGAACGGAUUGGGGAGCGCAGGGAGGACCGGUGCGGUGUGCCGUGUGAGAAGAGCCGAGCAAGGUCGCGCGCCGUGGUGAGAAGGAUCAGAGAUCAGAUACGACGGCCGGAUAGGAUCUGACGCAGCGGUGGGAUACGGCGGAUAGCGGCGAUCCGGACUGGAUACGGGGAUGCAGCCGUAGCCGACUGACACGGCGUCCUCAGGGGACCGGGAGACACGCCGGAGUCCAGAUGGCCUCCGGGCGUGGCACGCGGCAGCGCACUACCGCCUACGCUAUCACCACAGUGAUGCUGUUGAUGGGGGCAACACAUGCAGACGGAGGUUGCAAGGUGCUGCAUUGCUAUUCGUGCAAUAGCAUCGACGACAGUCGGUGCAUGAGCCCGUUCAACUACACUGACCGGCCACCGACAGCGCCAUGCAAGGGCUGGUGCGUCAAAAUCGUCGAAAAUAUCGACACAGAGUAUGAAAAGGUCGUCCGGACGUGUACGGAUAGGAUGCACAUCAAUCCGUUCAUAGUGGGCAACGUGUGUAUGGAAGAAAGCAGCGGACACGGAUCACUGUGCUUCUGCAAAAAGAACCGAUGUAACAAAUCCGCGACCGUCCGCCUUUCCACCUCCCUCCUGCUGGCCGCUGGUCUGACCCGGCUGCUCGUUACGUAGUGGGCCGGCGCCGGCUGACGGGGCGUCCUGUGGACGGCGGCCCGCCAGAGGCCCCGCUCGCCACUAGGCCCAGCGUUGGCGCCCGCAGGCCGGCACAGCCCCUGUAUAGCUGUGGUGUAGCCACGUAGCCAACUCAGCUACGUGUCAACUGAUGCUGUGAAGCAUUCAAUUGAGUGAGCUGUACAUAGACAUUAUUAAUAUCCCUGUCCAAGGUAGCAUUAUGCUAGCCUGGAUGGUUUUUGAUACACAAAGAUACUGUUGCGACUUCUUCGAGUCCUAUUCGCGCCGUCUUAAGGCGUUGAUGUUUUCUCAGUCCAAUUUACUAGUUAGGAUUUGUCCGCGAGGGCGUCAGCGGCCAUGACACCUGUGCGCACCGUCCUGUGCCCGACGGUGGGCCAGUUUUCACCAUCACACCUCACUCGGUGUCAGCUCUCUCUUCUGCCGGCUUUCUGUCUCUAUCCAGUGUGAGGCAAGCUUUUUAUGUGGGCUGCUCGGACGCCAGCUUCUCCCAGUCCUGGGUCCCGUUCUUCCCGUCCUAACGUUCUGCGGUGGCACUACGCACGCCGAUGCGAAGCAUCUGGCUCGCCAGUCCUUUCAUGUCAGUCACGCUGGAAAAGUGACGCUCUGAAGUGCCGUGAACGCGAGGCGUUCGGGCCACCGCCUUCCACCACUGAGGCCGGGCCAGGAUGCCCCCAGGCAUCGCCCGCGGUUCCGUCCCAGGCUGCCCCAGCUCGGCCUGGCGGCAGACACAACCAAUGGGGCACUGCGUGAUCGCGUGCUGGAAAAUGGCAACAGUGUGGAGAUGACUUUCAGAACUCUUUUCUUGAACCCACCGUUAAAGUGGUCCAAUAGCUAGUCGUACUGGAAUGGAAUGAUGCACAGCACCAUUCCUAAUGUUUUCUUCAAAAUAUGUUGUCAAAUAGUUCUGAGGGGACGUUCAAGGAAAGUCAUAUUUACAGUUAUUGCCAUACAGCACGUCUAACGCUUAGAGCCACUGAACUAAACGCAAACUUGUAUUUCUGGCACUAAACCGGAUCUUGCCCGAGAUCGGCAUUGUGCAGAGCUUCAGCACGGCAUUUCAAUGUGCAAAUGGAAGAGUCGGAACGCGCGCGCUUUCCGUGGCCUUUCGGACUCCCUCCUUGGCGCACUGUGUGGUCCAUGUUAGGCUGCUGCUCAGGUCUUUCUCUGCGCGCGGAGCCUGUUGGGUGCUGUGGGGUGCGGUCUGCGCUCGGUUCGGCCGGCCCCGCCGGGUUGUGGCCGCCGCCAGCCGAGCUGGUGCCGCCUGGAAGGGGCGCGCGCGGCGGCCCGGCCGGGCCCGGUCGCGCCGGUCCUCCUUCAAAGGCUGAGGGUCGGCGCGCGCGGACCCAACAGCGGCUCUGGCUCGCUGCUUUUCGUGCAUCCGAUGCCCACUAGUGUACUGGCGUUGAAGUGAAUCACACAGGGCUUACCGAGGGGCGUUCGCCGGUGGCUGAGCUCGUGCUGAGCCGCCGGCGGACCUCCCGCCGCCUGGUGACCUGAAACUGUGUAGCGCUCGUCUGUCACUUUCUCUCUAUCUAUCUGCUCUAUACUACUCCGUCUCUGUUGUAACUCGCUUUCUGUCUGUGUACUUGGUUCUGUUUCUCCGGAGGGCUUGUGUCUAGAGCGAACCGUCCUACCCUGCAUGAGCCCUGUAAUCACCCGCCACACGCUCUACUGAGCGAGCUGCAGCGUUUCGCUUAUCUGUCUCUCUUCUCUAGCUCGUCUCUUUCUCUAGCUCUCUUCCUGCGUAGCAAUUCUUCCUACGUCUGGCAUUGUAAGAGCAUGCGUAUUUCACCCUGGGUUGGCGAUGUAACCGAUUGAGAGAACAUGUUUGUACGUAUUCUGAUCGUUUUCGUAUAUCGUUCGUUACGUCCUGUUUCCCUUAGGCUACUUGUUCCCCGUUAUGAAACGUCUUGAACCUGUUAGCGCCUUUCAUUCCAUAUGAAUGCUUGUUGUUAGGAAAGUGAAUAUGACUGAAACUGAUUCUAAAUUGACACGGAUCAAUUUUAAUGACAUAAACAUCGGCUGUCGACCGUUCGGAACAUUAAAUUAUACGCUCGACAAUAUGGCCAGAGAAUUAGCAACAUGAGGAAAGCUACUGAAAAAGAAUAUCUUUACACGAAAAUGAUAGGUUAACGAAUAUGAAAGGUUUAUUUUGUAAGAAAGGUAUUCGAAAACAACUAAUCCGGAUCAUUGGCAACGUUGGAAAAAUGUUCAGAAAUUUCCGGAAACGUAACACCUUUUUAAAACAAACACCAAUCAUAAAUCUUCAUUAAUAUUUGUUCCAUUCAAAAUCGUUCGGCCGAUGUGGAUGAGCGAAACACAGGCGUGCGCAACGCUCAUGCCCUGAAUUAUCUACCGUCUAUAAUGGACAAUCGCGUUAUAGUCUUUAUCCUCCUCACUGUAGACGUAACAUUUUACAAUUCAGUCUCAUAUGCCUUCCUAUAUGAUAGACACUUGCCACUGAUGUCAUGGCGAUCAUUGUGGCUAUCUUUUAUUGUCGAGUAAUGUCCUUCCACCAGGGCUAUAGCAGGUUAGCUUCCUCAUGCAUUAUAUUUACCUGUUAAUGUAUUUUAUCGCGUCUGCAGUAUCGGGCUAGGGCUUGUUGCCACUGGCUGAUCCUGCUCGCCUGACCGCCUUUUUCUGAAGCGGCCUCUGUCUCACUGUUCCUCACCAGCCGAAAUAAGUUGAGCUCAUUUUGUUUUGCGACGGCCCAUCGUGGUGCCUAUAUCGCGGCGUUCUGUUCAUCUGAUUUUACAGGGGCGUAGUUUCACAACGAUAUUGGGGAGAUUUCGUUUUGGGAAAGGAAACUUAUCGUUUAGCUUUAUUGAAUAUAGUUAUUACUGAUAGUAGACACACAUAUUCCCAUCUGUCAUUAAACCAUUUCCCAUAGAGCGGAGGCACCCCAAAAUCGGGUGUUGAAGCCACACCCCUGUCGCCGGUUUGGGGAGGUGCCGUCACUGUUCUGCGCUGCGCUGCCUGGCUGUCCAGCUGCGCUGCCGCCUUGGUUGCCAGCUUGUGCACCGACACGCUCAGCAGCCGAGUCUCACUCGCGUACAUUUAGGUGUCGAGUCGGGGCACUCCCGGGCCCGGCCAGUAUCUUGUUCAGCUCGCGUGAUAUACUGUAAUUUUGUAAGCCUUGAUGUGAUAAUGCGUAUAUCAUCGUUGGCUUGUGACAAAAGGUGAAAGUUAGGGAGUGGCUCAAGGUGCAAUAUAAGUCGACUGCUUAUGACCUGAAUGCCUGUUGUGUUUACGUUGUGAAUAUGCGCCACCCGGCACCUCUUUACCGGCAGGAGGCUCAACAAACAUCGAUAGUUUCGUCCAAGGAGGGUGGGAGCCACAGGCUUUGAGCAUAAAUCAGAGGGUAUUACCUUACACAAACAGCUUUAUUACCUUUCAAACAGCUAGAAUCUCAAAAUUUGUCUUUGUUGUUGGGAAUAUAGAGAUAAUAAAAUAUUUCCAAACUGCUAACCAUUUUGGCCAGUAUAGCGUUUAUGGAUAGCAAUGAAUUAACUGACAGAUGAUGUACUGGUGAACACCUUUUCUUUUAAUGCACAUAAAGGCUAACUAUCCUCAAAAAUAAUCUGCAAGUGAUCUAAAAUGGUUUUCAACCAUCAAUAAGAUAUAGGAAAGUCGAAGAUAAUUCACUUUCUUUCAUCAUAGCACAGCGUACUAAAAUGCCUUCUUACGGCACUCUUAUUCACAUUGCUAUUGCUAAGCUUAAGAUCCGCUAAAGCAUGUCCAUCGUGAAGCUUCAUAAUUGCACAGCGGAACGCAACAUGCACUUUUGAUCGGACAAAGAGAAGCUUAUCCCCAUCCCUGCUAAUGGCUUAAUGACGCGCUAAUUAGAGCACGUUUUUGUUUGCGAUCUAAUACACUCGCGACGAAGCGUCUUUUCGUCCUCACUUUGGCUGAGAUCAAAAGCUCUUGGCAAAUAUCCAUUUGGCUGAAGCGGUCGCCCAUCCCUCUGAGGAGCCACCGACGCAUCCCCGUGGGAGGUCGUGGGUGGGGAGGGGGAGGGGGCGUCUCGGAUACCGUCCUGGGCUUCUGACACCGCCUGUAGAGAUGGCAAUCAUGGGUAGCGGGGUGGGAGAAGUGACUCUGUCCAGCAGGAACAACAAGGUCCCACAUUCUACGAGAAACCGGUGCAGCCCCGGGGCUAGAGGGACCGCGCCUGGAGACUUCAAGGAGAUCGGGUCUCCGAGGGACCGGUCCGGUCUCUGGUCCGGGACCGCGGGCUCGGCUCGAGUCUCGGUCCCCGGACCACGGACAGAGCAGACUCCGAUCGAAGGCUCCACUCGAGACCAGCUAUCAUUGGAACAGCUCCAGCCUUCUGAACCAUCGGAAGUCCACUGAGGACUCAGAAAAGUCUACAUUCACUCUCCAAGUUCGGGCGAUGGCAGUCGUCCAUCGGUUCGGAGCCAUAACGACAGAGAGAGGACUGGAGUGAGUGGGAGAGAGCAGCUUGUCGGCGCUCUCUCCUCUCCACCGGAGCUGCAUCUGACGUGACCAACCGACCGCCACGCCCACUCACAAGACCACGCCCACUCCAAUCGGCCAGCGCUGGCGGCGGUCUCCCGUCCGCUCCUGCUCUCGUCUCUAUGCCGCGCGUCGGGCUCUCUCCUACGGCAGUCGCUCAACGCCUGAUGGAGUGGGAUUUCUUCGGUCGAGCAGUCGGCAGAGCUGAUCAGGCUUGGCAGUAUCCCGUCGCUGGCUGCAGGGAGAAGGAACCUCACCUACGACGCCUUCUGCUGAAGACAUCGGUCGUCUCUUCAGAAACCGUCCACAUCAGAGGAGGCAGCUGCUUCAGCGAUGACAUCAAUGAAUCACAGAGCGAGCAGACGUGGCACUGAUGUCAGGUGCUGAGCUCUGUCAUCUUUCUUGACGUUUAAAGACAUUCAAUCUCAUUUCAAGCGGCUCGACCAGCGGAGCGUUUUGCAACUGGAGGACUGAAAUCGUGGUAUAAGUGUAUCAGUAUUACGUUAUAAAAUACACGUUUCGGUGUUCACAAAGAACGAUGCAAUGCAGUGCAAGUCCGUUGUUAGAAAGAUGGAAUUAGCUACAAGAUAUGGUAAAAGAUGAUAUAAAUUCAUGGUACUGGCUUCAAAGUUUGUGAAACUAAGAAACCGUUUAAUGCGGUAUAUGGAUCAUAUUUUGCAUUAGCAAGUUAAUGUUUCAUUACCGUGUAUAAUUUUGGGUCAAAACUUUGUUACCACCGAUAGGUUACAGUUGUGUCUAGGCUGCAGAUUCGUAGGCUGACGUAUUUGCCCGGGACCGUGCGAAUGUCCUUUGGUGAUGUGGUGCCCAAAGAUCUGCUAGCCGGCAAACGAAUAAUUCACACCACCCCGUACCAAGCUGCCAAUAUGAACAGUAGUUCUGCUCUUAUUGACUGCGUGGGAGCUGCCGCAUAAGUUGGAUUUGCUUAUUUUUUUCGUGCUGGACUUGUUGACUCCUUUUCGCAGUGACUUUUCAGUAAAAAUAACUAAUGUAUGACGGUGCAUUGCAUCUGUAGUCUGUAGUUGUACAUGGUACUUAAAUUGCAUUUCGUGAAGGACAUGGCAGCUCUAAGUCUAUGCACCCGUGGCUCUAGCUAAGGAUCAAUGUCGGGGCCAUGGCUCAAUGCUUUCCAUCCACCGCCAUAGGCCUGAUGUUAAAACGGGUCUUCAAGGGGUCCACACGCUUCCCUGAAGGCCAGUGAAUGUGAGCUAGCUCGCAGCGUUAUUCCUUGUUUUAAGGUGUCCACACACAUCCAUACUACCGUAUUUGACUAUGGAUAGCUAUUACCAAAAGCAAAACUUCGAUAGCAGCUGUACUUAAAAUACCUACCGAUAUCUUACGGUCUCCAACCGAGCUUCAAACUGACAGUUUAACUUACACUCUUUGACAACUUAAACACAACUUUCAAUGCUGAAGUAUCAGUGGGCGCCCCAUCGCUCGGGUCACCUGCCCUACCGCUAGUCAUGACCCGCCCAGUAACCCACAAGCGUGUCGAGUGUCGACUGUGAGUGAGGAUCGACUGUGAGUGAGUGUCAACUGUGACACCCAGUGAGGGUCGAAUGUGCCGCGAUUGAGCGCAUCUCGGCGUGACACCAACACGGUACUAGUCUAGACAAUUCGUCAGUAUAUUGACUGUUAUCGGCUGAAGUGUAACUUGUCCAGCUUGAUACCAAAUACACAAUUAACGAACCGUC